rnacentral:rRNA from 1 species
UAAACGCUGAAGGCAUCUAAGCGUGAAGCCCCCCUCAAGAUGAGAUAUCCCAUCGUAAGAGUAAGACCCCUUGAAGACGACGAGGUUGAUAGGGCAGGGGUGGAAGUGCCGUAAGGCAUGGAGCUGACUGCUACUAAUCGGUCGAGGGCUUGACCAAAA